AGUGGAGGUGGUGUUGGUGGAUCCAGGUCAGAUUGUUUGAGCUCUGAUUAUUGCAACUCAUGUGUUUCCGUUAGAUGGUAUGCUUCGUUACAUUUUGUUUUAAAUUCAUGAGCUUUCAGCUAGGCUAAAAUAACCUCUAAAAUAUAGUGCUGAUAGCUACUGCAGACAGUUGUAGUUCUUUCUCAGGAUCGUACAUACCUACGGUAGCAAAUGACUAUUCUGACUCAUAUCAUCGUAGUACACUAAGUUUUGGACUGUGCAUACACUAUUUCUAGCCGUAGCUAAUGGCACUGAAUUUGUCUUGUCUAUACUUUACAUGUAUUGUAAGCUCUCAAGUUGGGGGUCGAGGUUUUCCAUUUUUUAUAAUUUGAUAUAUCAAACAUAUAUGCAUGCUGCUGUUUGACUACAAUUGUGUCUGCUCCCUUUUCAGUGAUGACAAAGAUAAUUAGGUGCUGGUGUAGGAACGUGGAACUUUUGCCUUCACAGUUGCAGCCAUGUGUAAUUCAGGGUUAUCAUCUAUUUCUACUUUUCUCAAGUUGUUGUAUAUGUUAGUUGGAUGGGGGAGAUGUGGUACAUACUUUUGUCCGCAACAUCGCUAACGAUUUGCCUACACAAACCUGCCAAGGUACAUGUCUUUUAUCUUAUAUCAAAACAGUUAUGGACUGUGACCUAUGAUGCCCACUACUAUUUUGUUCUCUUUUUUACAAAAAAUGUUGUUUCAAAAUAGCCCUUCACAAAUGUAUAUGUUCAAUGAGGUAUUAAUUUUUUGGUUCAAUGUUGGCUUCUUCCUAAUCACAGUAAUAAAGAUCAAUUCCAUAUUUCAGAGGGGAUUGUAUAUUGUUAGUUGCCUACUUACAAGGAUACGUCUAUUGGCUAAUAGAGUUUUAUCAGUAUUUUGUAUAGUUUUUUACUCUGUGUAUUCUUUUGGUAAUAUUGUCCAACUAUAUUUCAGGUUAACUUUGAUCAGGAUGCUACGCUUAUCACGCUUUUGAUAUGCUGGCGGCCAACGUGAAUGCAUCUCACUUAAAAUCG
rnacentral:lncRNA from 1 species